rnacentral:rRNA from 1 species
UACGGGGGGGGCAAGCGUUGUUCGGAAUUACUGGGCGUAAAGGGCUCGUAGGCGGCCAACUAAGUCGGACGUGAAAUCCCUCGGCUUAACCGGGGAACUGCGUCCGAUACUGGAUGGCUUGAGUUCGGGAGAGGGAUGCGGAAUUCCAGGUGUAGCGGUGAAAUGCGUAGAUAUUGGGUGGAACACCGGUGGCGAAAGCGGCCCCCUGGCCCGGUCCUGACGCUGAGGCGCGAAAGCGUGGGGAGCAAACAGGG